ensembl:lncRNA
AGAUUCACGUAAGAAUGAAUGAAAGUGGUACUGCCUUAGAAAUCACACACCAAAGAUUCUAUAGGUAUUUUUAUUAAACUGACAUCCUUUAACUUAUCCUUUAAAAUUAGUCAUUUCUAUGUCAUCUUUUAUUUAGAAAAAAUGACGUCAUGUCAUAUCAUGUCAGUUGCAUAUUAUUUCUAAUAGGCAGCUGACAUGAUAUAUAUAUACACACACACACAUACACACUUAUAUGUAUAUACACAUAUAUACACAUAUAUAGGUGUAUAUAUGUGUGUGUGUGUAUGCGUGUGUAUAUAUAUAUAUAUCAUGUCAACUGCCUAUUAGAAAUAACUCCCUUUGGUCCUUAGAGUGAAGUUAUUCCCAUUUCACAGAUGAGUAAACUUGGAUGUACUGAAUAACUUGUCCAAGGUCACAGAAGUUGUGCACAAUUGGGAUUUGAACUCAGGGUUGUCUAAUGCCCAAACCUGUGUUCUUUUUAUUGUACCAUUUGGCGUCUCAUUUUUUUUCUGAGUCCAAUCACUCUUUAUGAACGUUCUUUAAAGAACUGACCUAAUUCCAACAAACACUUUGAGAAACAAAGGAAGGAAAAUAGAUUUUUACAGUAGGAAAGCUAACAUUUUAAAAUCUUAAAUUCACUUGAAUCUCUCUGGCUGCCGAUCUGAGGACCUAAAUGCCUUUUUAACUAGUGAAAUGAAAAUUCUUGCCUGGGUGCAGUGGCUCAUGCCUCUAAUCCCAGCACUUUGGGAGGCCGAGGCGGGUGGAUAGCCUGAGGUCAGGAGUUCAAGACUAGCCUGACCAACAUGGUGAAACCCCUUCUCUACUAAAAACUCAAAAAAUUAGCCAGGCAUGGUGGCGAGUGCCUGUAAUCCCAGCUACUCAGGAGGCUGAGACAGGAGAAUCGCUCAAAUCCAGGAGGCAGAGGUUGCAGUGAGCCGAGACUGCGCCAAUUGCACUCCAGCCUGGAUAACAAAAGCAAAACUCUGUCUCAAAAGAAAGAAAGAAAAUUCUCGAAAAUAAAAUGUGAAGAAGUAAAAAGUUAAAAAAUUUUUUUUCUUGUAGUAAUUACUAAGUAGUGUUAACUUCAAGCCCUAAAUUUAUGUUCACAAAUUUAGGCUCAUCUGUUUUCCCCAGUACAUUAUAAGUUCCAUGAGGGCAGGGGCCUGGAGCAUAGUGAGCAGUAAAUAUCUGUUGAAUAAAGGAAUGAAAUUCUGUAAUUUACUUCUUAUGACUUUUUAAAAAGUCAUCUUUACCCACGUGCCUGCCAUAUAUGUCUUCUGUCCUUAUAUUGCUCCUGAACUUCUCUGUCUUCCACUGUUUGGUGGGCAUCUUUGCUGGGAUGUUUUAUUGUCACCUCAUACUGAACCAUGUGUAACACCAAACUUCCUAUCCUCAUUGAAAAAAAUAGUCUUUUUCUUUGUACUUCCUUAUUUGGUUUAGCUAAAUCCAAAUUUAGCUAACCAAAGGUCAAAACUUAGGAGUAAUCUUUGGCUCUUUCUACCUGUUUGUUUUUUCUGCUCUUACACUGUAUAAAUUUGUUUCUUUUUAUUUCUUCUGUUGCCAUUCUAGUGCACCUAGUCCUUCACCUCAUUGCUGACCUGCUUCUGUUGCACUUUAACUGUUCUCUUACACCUGCAGAGUCUGUUUCACACUUUGUCAUAUCAGUCUUCUAAAAACAGUGAUAGACUGGAUAAAGAAAAUGUGGCACAUAGACACUGUGGAAUACUGUGCAGCCGUAAAAAAGGGUGAGUUCAUGUUCUUUGCAGGGACAUGGAUGAAGCUGGAAACCAUCAUUCUUAGCAAACUAACAUAGGAACGGACAACCAAACACCUGUUCUCACUCAUAAAUGGAAGCAGGGAGGGGAACAUCACACACUGGGGCUUUCGGUGGGUGGGGGUUAGGGGAGGGAUAGCGUUAGGAGAAAUACCUACUGUAGAAUAUGGGUUGAUGGGUACAGCAAACCACCUUGACAUGUGUAUACCUAUGUAACAAAUCUGCACGUUCUGCACAUGUAUCCCAGAACUUAAAGUGUAAUAAAAAGCAAAAACGUAUCUCUUAUUUUACUUCUUUUAUUACCUCUAAAAUGAUCCUCAGCAGAAGGCUCCCAUUCCCUUCACAUCCCUUUUUUUCCUAACCAAAUCUUUCCACUUCAUGGUUUUUCUAUGUUUGCUAAAUUCAGCACCUCCCUCCUCACUGCUCCCCCAUUCUUUCUUUUCGUCUCUGCUUACCAAGGCCCAUCUUCAGUUCUCUAUAAUCUAUAAUAGUUAAUUUUCCCAAAUCAUACCUUUUUUUUUUUUUUGAGAGACAAGAUCUUGUUCUGUCAUCCAGGCUGGAGGGCAGUGCUCCUGGGCUCAAGUGGUCCUCCCACCUCAGUGUGCCCAGCCAAUUUUUAAAUUUUUUUGUAGAAAUGAGGUCUCACUUUGUUGCCCAGGCCAGUCUGGAACUCCUGUCCCCAAGAGAUCAUCUCGCCUUGACCUCCCAAAGUGCUGGAAUUACAGGCAUGAGCCACUGCACCUGACCCCAUUAUCUUCUUUUGAAAUAAGUCAUCAGCUAAUUCACUUCAUAAGUAUCUGCUGAAUAUUAUGUGUUAGGUACUGUGCUGUUCCUUGAGGAUAUGAAGGUGUGUAAGAAUCAGGCCUUGCUUUCCCCUCAGAGAACUUAUAAUUAUAACUAUGAAGGGAAGACAGCUACGUGCACAGCAAUUAGAACUUCAUAAUAAAAAUACAGGCAAUAUGUGUUGCUGGACUAAGAUGUGAUCAACUAACUCUUUUGGGGGUUCUGGUGGAAGACAUCACAGAAGAGAGGACAUUUGGGCAGGUCCGAGAGGUUUAGUAUGAGUAGACCAUCUUGGGGAGAAAGGCAUUCCAGAAGGAAUGAAGAGCUGAUCUGCAAAGGCAAAGAAUUACGGAUUAUCAUACUUAGUGUAUUAAUUUCCUAGGGCUGUUACAGUGAAGUACCACAAACUCAUGGCAUAAACAACAGAAAUUUAUUCUCUCAUAGUUCUGGGGGCUAGAAGCCUGAAAUCAAGGUGCUGGCAGGGCCACGAUCUCUCUGAAGACUCUGAGGGAGGAUCUGUUUCAUGCUUUUCUCUUCGCUUCUGGAGUUGCCAGCAGUCCUUGGCAUUUUGGCUUGUAGAUGCAUCACUUCAGUCUCUGCCUCCGUCCUUUCAAUCUCACGUGCUACUCUCCCUCCCUUUGUGUCUCUAUCUUUUCUCUUAAGAGUACCAGUCAGGCCGGGCGUGGUGGCUCAAGCCUGUAAUCCCAGCACUUUGGGAGGCCGAGACGGGUGGAUCACGAGGUCAGAAGAUCGAGACCAUCCUGGCUAACACGGUGAAAUCCCGUCUCUACUAAAAAUACAAAAACUAGCGAGCCGGUGGCGAAGCCUGUAGUCCCAGCUACUUGGGAGGCUGAGGGAGGAGAAUGGCGUGAACCCGGGAGGGGGGGCUUGCAGUGAGCUGAGAUCCGGCCACUGCACUCCAGCCUGGGCGACAGAGCAAGACUCCGUCUCAAAAAAAAAAAAAAAAAAAAAAA